UACGGGGGGGGCAAGCGUUGUUCGGAAUUACUGGGCGUAAAGGGCUCGUAGGCGGUUUGUCGCGUCUGUCGUGAAAGCCCACGGCUUAACCGUGGGUCUGCGGUGGAUACGGGCAGACUAGAGGCAGGUAGGGGAGAAUGGAAUUCCCGGUGUAGCGGUGAAAUGCGCAGAUAUCGGGAGGAACACCAGUGGCGAAGGCGGCAUCCUGGCCCUGUCCUGACGCUCAGGGGCGAAAGCGUGGGGAGCAAACCGG
rnacentral:rRNA from 1 species